AACGCACAUUGCGCCCGCCAGUAUUCUGGCGGGCAUGCCUGUCCGAGCGUCAUUUCAACCCUCAAGCCCCAGCGGCUUGGUGUUGGGGACCGGCCCCGCGCCGCCCCCUAAAUGCAGUGGCGACCUCGCCGCAGCCUCCCCUGCGUAGUAGCACAACCUCGCACCGGAGCGCGGAGACGGUCACGCCGUAAAACGCCCAACUUUUUUAGAGUUGACCUCGGAUCAGGUAGGAAUACCCGCUGAACUUAA
rnacentral:misc_RNA from 1 species